rnacentral:misc_RNA from 1 species
GAAUCCAAUCCAAGCCAAGCAUUACCGAAUCAGAAAUAAGGCCCAAUUGAUGUCCCUUCAAGCAACCAGUCCCUUCAAGCGGACGCGAUUAGAUCUUGGGAUAUGAUGGGCGUGCAAUCGGGAGGGGACUCGAAUAGCGACAGAGAGAACUGCUUGUAGACGACGCCGACGUCGAAGUAGAUGAGGCCGGAGCUCGGGAUGUCGACGCGGAUCCCGCGGACCGGGAACCAGAGGAAUAGCUCCUGCGCCUCGAUGCCGGAGAGGGCGCCGAUCUGGCCGUACGAGAGGAUGCCAGAGACGUUUGCAGCGUAUUGGACCUCGGUCUCGA